CAAAGCGAACGCACUCCUGGUCUCUAGCCCGAACAAACUUUUAUCCACAGCGAUAUUGUUCGUCCAAAAGAUGCCCUCCCUCUCUCUCUCUCUCUCGGUCAGUCAAAAAAAAAAGCUCCCACAUCUCUGCAAUGCACACAACAUCUGCUAGCAAUUGGCUGUCAAUAUUUGCCGUUUCUGAAGCUGGCCGGGCUGCGACACCUAAAAACGUCUACACGCGGGUCGAGUUAAAACUUGCUUCAUUUGACGGAGGACAAAGUGACAUGUGUUAGCGGAUGGGGGUAUGCCGUAAUGGGACCAUUUUCACGGAGGACGCAGGAAAAGAAUGAAUGGAAGAAAAAUGUAUACUGGAGGGCGCACUAUAGAAAAAAUCAUACAGGGAGAGGCCCGGUGACAAAAGCUCCAAAUUCAUGAGGAUUUUGUGAGUCGUCCUAUUUGAGGGUGGGCCGGGGGGUAUGUGAGAUGAACAAAAGUUUAGAAAAUUAUACAAACAACAUAUAAUUCAACGUAAAUACCAACUUAAAUUGGUAGAACACAUGCAUAUGUAAGUUUCUCCUUCUUCCCUAUAUACUUUUCUAUUACAAGGGCUUUACAAGAUUUUUUUUUUUCAAUUUAUUAUAGAGCUAGGAGAGGAUGUAAAUGUUAGGAAAGAGUUCAGAGAGGGCUAAAGAGAGGCAAGCUAGCUAGCAGUACGUUCCAGUUGCUUAAUUAAGGGGACCCCUACAAGCGAGCUAGUCCCCAUUUUUCUUUGCUCUCGCUUCGAGGAAAAGGAGGUCCUCGCUGAUUGAUUAUCAGAUUGAGAAUGAGGAGGGCAGCACCAGAAUCUUCUGAAAAUAUUAUGUUAAUGUGUGGAGAGAUGAGCAAGUUUGUGUACAACAGGUAAAUGAUGAUUGAUGAGAUCAGGACCAGCUAUUUUCUUAUUGCUAUUAUUUCCUCUUCUGGAAAGGUUUUGCUCAGUGGUUAAAUCCACACAAUAUGUGUGUCUUCAGCCUUUUGUGUAUUUUAAGUUUAUGCAAAAUAUAUAUAGUGCAUCAUAUCGAGAAA